rnacentral:lncRNA from 1 species
UAAUAUUCUUUAUUUACAUUUUUAUUCACUUUUUGGGCACGAAUCCAAUCAAGCAUCAUGUGUUACAUUUAAUUAUUUUGUCUCUUUAGUCAAGCCACUUAAUUUUAAACCACUUAGUAUAACAAAAAGAACAGGUCACGUAUCAUUUUACAGAAGAUGUCAGACUCUAAUACAUACUGGUUUGAAUCACCAACAUGUCAUAACUUUGGUUUAAGAAGAAUACAGGCUGGGCACGGUGGAUUACACCUGUAAUCCUAUCACUUUGGGAGGCCAAGGCAAGAGGAUCACUUGAGCUCAGGAGUUUGAGACCAGCUUGGGCAACAUAAUGAGACCUCAUCUCUACAAAAUAAAUUUUUAAAUUAGCCAAGCAUAGUGAUGCACACCUGUAGUUCCAGCACUUUGGGAGGCCGAGGCAGGCAGAUCACAAGGUCAAGAGAUCGAGACCAUCCUGGCCAAUAUGGUGAAACCCUGUCUCUACUAAAAAUACAAAAAUUAGCUGGGCGUGUUGGUGCAUGUUUGUCCCAGCUACUUGGGAGGCUGAGGCAGGAGAAUCACUUGAACCC